GAUGAACGCUGGCGGCGUGCCUAAUACAUGCAAGUCGAGCGAACAGACGAGGAGCUUGCUCCUUCGACGUUAGCGGCGGACGGGUGAGUAACACGUAGGGAACCUACCUAUAAGACUGGGAUAACCUCGGGAAACCGGAGCUAAUACCGGAUAAUAUUUCGAACCGCAUUGUUCGAUAGUGAAAGAUGGCUUUGCUAUCACUUAUAGAUGGACCUGCGCCGUAUUAGCUAGUUGGUAAGGUAACGGCUUACCAAGGCAACGAUACGUAGCCGACCUGAGAGGGUGAUAGGCCACACUGGAACUGAGACACGGUCCAGAAUCCUACGGGAGGCAGCAGUAGGGAAUCUUCCGCAAUGGGCGAAAGCCUGACGGAGCAACGCCGCGUGAGUGAUGAAGGUCUUCGGAUCGUAAAACUCUGUUAUUAGGGAAGAACAAACGUGUAAGUAACUGUGCACGUAUUGACGGUACCUAAUCAGAAAGCCACGGCUAACUACGUG
rnacentral:rRNA from 1 species